CCUACGGGUGGCAGCAGUGGGGAAUAUUGCACAAUGGGGGAAACCCUGAUGCAGCGACGCCGCGUGAAGGAAGAAGGCUUUCGGGAUGUAAACUUCUAUUAUCAGGGAAGAAGAUAGUGGUGGUACAUGAAGAAUACGCGGCGGCUAACGACGUAGCAGCAGCCGCGGUAAUACGUAGGUGGCCAGCGUUAUCCGUAUUUAUUGGGUGUAAAGGGGGCGUAGGCGGGAUAGCAAGUCAGAGGUGAAACCUCAGGGCUCAACGCCGGGCCUGCAUUUGAAACUGUGGUUCUUGAGUGCUGGAGAGGUAAGUGGAAUUCCGUGUGUAGCGGUGAAAUGUGUAGAUAUAAGGAGGAACACCAGUGGCGAAGGCGGAUUGCUGGACAGUAAAUGACGCUGAGGCGCGAAAGCGUGGGGAGCAAACAGGAUUAGAUACCCGGGUAGUC
rnacentral:rRNA from 1 species